UCAUUAGACACAAGGUUUAAACGUGAGUUUGUUUAAACCGUGCAUAUGACGCUAACUCUCAAUGAAUCCCUCUCAUCAAAAAGAGACCCCCUCUCUCAUAACAAGGAGGUCCCCCGUCUCUUUGAGGCCCCUACCUCAGAUGAGAGAACUGUUUGAGGGAUUAGUGCUCAUGUGUUGAUGAAAUAAAAGCAGACAUGCCGUCUUCGUUUCUCUUUCUUCAGAUGAUGAUCCCAAGCCUUCUGGCGAUCUCUUAAAAUAAAGCCUGAUCCGUUUCUAACAAACAGGAUAUCUUGAUAGAUCUUUAAAUCCUUAUAAACCUUAAAGAGUAUCAAUUUUAAAAAAAGGCUUUAUGAAGAAAGCACUUUAAGCUUUUCCAAUGAUUUAAGAUGAUACCGGGGAAGGUUUUCCGGUUUAUCCCGGAGGGCUUGUAGCUCAGUUGGUUAGAGCGCGCGCUUGAUAAGCGUGAGGUCGGAGGUUCAAGUCCUCCCAGGCCCACCAAUUUAUGCUCGUUUUUUGCUUACCUGAGAAUAUAUGAAGCUUAAGCAUAUGAACGCCUCUUUAAGUUUAAAGAUUUCAUUUUAUCGAUGAUUUAUUAGAUUUAUUCUAUUAAAUUUGUCAAACAUUGCCCUUGUUAAAGAGAAUUUUAAAUUCUCUCUAAGCAGACAGGUAAAUUGAAAUGAGGCAAAUCAAAAAAAUGCAAAUUUAAAGAAUACAGGCUAUUUAAGUUGAUAAACUUUCUUGUAUUUGAUUUGGAAGAGCAUUAUUUAGGGGCCGUAGCUCAGCUGGGAGAGCACCUGCUUUGCAAGCAGGGGGUCGUCGGUUCGAUCCCGUCCGGCUCCACCACUUUAUGGUUCAUCAUCAUGUUGUAAGAGCACGGGUUUAGUAAAAGGUUCUUUAUCCUUUUGCUUGUUCUAUUGAAAUUGUGAAGAGAAGAUAUAUUCAAACAUGUUCCUUUUGAACUGUUUAUUUGAGAGACCAAAAUUUGUUCUCAAGAAUAAUCAUUUAAGAAUAAAAAUCUUAAAAAGA
rnacentral:tRNA from 1 species